rnacentral:rRNA from 1 species
ACGGGUGAGUAACGCGUGAAUUAUCUGCCCUUUAGUGGAGAAUACCUUCGAGAAAUCGGAGUUAAUACUGCAUAAGCUCCUUCGGGAGGAAAGAUGGCCUCUUUGCUGUCGCUAAAGGAUGAGUUUGCGUACUAUUAGCUAGUUGGUGGGGUAAAGGCCUACCAAGGCGAGGAUGGUUAGCCGGCCUGAGAGGGUGAACGGCCACAUUGGAACUUAGACACGGUCCAGACUCCUACGGGAGGCAGCAGUGAGGAAUAUUGCGCAAUGGGCGAAAGCCUGACGCAGCGACGCCGCGUGGAGGAUGAAGGCCUUCGGGUUGUAAACUUCUGUUAAGUGGGAAAAAAUGUCCAGGGUUAAUACCCCUGGAAGAUGAUUGUACUACUAGAGAAAGCACUGGCUAAUCUCGUGCCAGCAGCCGCGGUAAUACGAGAGGUGCAAGCGUUAUUCGGAAUCAUUGGGCGUAAAGGGUGCGCAGGCGGCAUUUUAAGUCAACCGUUUAAUUCCUCGGCUUAACUGAGGGUCAGCGGUAGAUACUGGAAUGCUUGAGUGUGGAAGAGGGAAGUGGAAUUCUCGGA